rnacentral:rRNA from 1 species
AGAUUGAACGCUGGCGGCAGGCCUAACACAUGCAAGUCGAGCGGUAGAGAGGUGCUUGCACCUCUUGAGAGCGGCGGACGGGUGAGUAAUGCCUAGGAAUCUGCCUAGUGGUGGGGGAUAACGUUCGGAAACGGACGCUAAUACCGCAUACGUCCUACGGGAGAAAGCGGGGGACCUUCGGGCCUCGCGCCAUUAGAUGAGCCUAGGUCGGAUUAGCUAGUUGGUGAGGUAAUGGCUCACCAAGGCGACGAUCCGUAACU